rnacentral:tRNA from 1 species
GUCCUCGUACUCCAACGGCAGAGAGAGUGGUCUCAAACACCACACAGUGUGGGUUCGAAUCCCACCGAGGACA